rnacentral:scRNA from 1 species
GUGGUUGCCGGCAAUGCAGAGGCAGAUGAUGC